ACCCUUCUAAGUACAAUAGUGACAUCAGAUGAAAAAAAGUUUAAUCUACUCGACUACCUUGAAACACAUCUUCAUUCACUAGCCGUAUCAUAAAGAAGACAUUUUGUUGUAAGAUUUUAGCUACUGAUCAGAAAAGGCUCUGUCACACACGUUUGCGAGUUACUCUUCGAAAAAGUAAAGGAGCUGAGAACAAAGAAGGACAAUGAAGAUGUCUCAAAGUAUUCCACCCAAGAAGAAAAUCUGUGGAGACGGGCGACGUAUAUGCUUGCCGAACCGUUGGAUAGAAUGAUCCAAAAAAUGUUGGAAACAGCCCAAUGCACAUUACUAUAAAAUUUCAAUUUGUAUUUUAUUAUGUAACAGUUUGUUCCUUGUUACACUAAACAAAAGCCUGCAUGUACAAUGCACUGUAAUCCAUACUCAUACAAUUACUCCAUGGGCAUAUUAAGGUAACAGUUGUUACCUAUAGCUAGCAUUUUUUACAAAUGCAAAAUGUUUUAUUUUUAUUAAACUUGGUUGAGUACAAUAAAUGUAUUAUUAUUAUUAAAAUAAUAGCUCAACACAAACUUCAUCUCUAGAAUCAAAAAGAUGAGAUGUCUCCAUUCAGAUACUGUUAUAGACUUAAUAUAAGAUGACACAGAUA